GAUGAACGCUAGCGGGAGGCCUAAUACAUGCAAGUCGAACGGUAACAGGGUAGCAAUACCGCUGACGAGUGGCGCACGGGUGAGUAACACGUACACAACCUGCCGAAUACAGGGGCAUAGCCUCGGGAAACUGAGAUCAAUUCCCCAUAAUGUUAUGAAGUGGCAUCACUUUAUAAUUAAAACUCCGGUGGUAUUCGAUGGGUGUGCGUCUGAUUAGCUAGUUGGCGGGGUAACGGCCCACCAAGGCGACGAUCAGUAACUGGUCUGAGAGGAUGAUCAGUCACACGGGCACUGAGACACGGGCCCGACUCCUACGGGAGGCAGCAGUAGGGAAUAUUGGACAAUGGGCGCAAGCCUGAUCCAGCCAUCCCGCGUGAAGGAUUAAGGUCCUAUGGAUUGUAAACUUCUUUUCUCUGGGAAUAAAACCGGCAUUUAUGCUGGCUUGAAGGUACCAGAGGAAUAAGCACCGGCUAACUCCGUGCCAGCAGCCGCGGUAAUACGGAGGGUGCAAGCGUUAUCCGGAUUCACU
rnacentral:rRNA from 1 species